AUUGAACGCUGGCGGCAGGCCUAACACAUGCAAGUCGAACGAGUGGCGGACGGGUGAGUAAUGUCUGGGAAACUGCCUGAUGGAGGGGGAUAACUAAUGGAAACGGUAGCUAAUACCGCAUACCAUACGAUGUGCCCAGAUGGGAUUAGCUAGUUGGGUGGGUAAAGGCUAACCAAGGCGACGAUCCCUAGCUGGUCUGAGAGGAUGACCAGCCACACUUGAACUGAGACACGGUCCAGACUCCUACGGGAGGCAGCAGUGGGGAAUAUUGCACAAUGGGCCCAAUCCUGAUGCAGCCAUGCCGCGUGUAUGAAGAAGGCCUUCGGGUUGUAAAGUACUUUCAGCGGGGAGGCGUUACCCGCAGAAGAAGCACCGGCUAACUCCGUGCCAGCCGCCGCGGUAAUAC
rnacentral:rRNA from 1 species